rnacentral:rRNA from 1 species
ACUCCUACGGGAGGCAGCAGUAGGGAAUCUUCCACAAUGGGCGCAAGCCUGAUGGAGCAACACCGCGUGAGUGAAGAAGGGUUUCGGCUCGUAAAGCUCUGUUGUUAAGGAAGAACACGUAUGAGAGUAACUGUUCAUACGUUGACGGUAUUUAACCAGAAAGUCACGGCUAACUACGUGCCAGCAGCCGCGGUAAUACGUAGGUGGCAAGCGUUAUCCGGAUUUAUUGGGCGUAAAGAGAGUGCAGGCGGUUUUCUAAGUCUGAUGUGAAAGCCUUCGGCUUAACCGGAGAAGUGCAUCGGAAACUGGAUAACUUGAGUGCAGAAGAGGGUAGUGGAACUCCAUGUGUAGCGGUGGAAUGCGUAGAUAUAUGGAAGAACACCAGUGGCGAAGGCGGCUACCUGGUCUGCAACUGACGCUGAGACUCGAAAGCAUGGGUAGCGAACAGGAUUAGAUACCCUGGUAGGAUAGCG